rnacentral:rRNA from 1 species
CCCUACGGGGUGCUGGACAUGGCAGGCAAUGUCUGGGAAUGGGUGCGGGAUUGGUAUGGAGCCUAUGACCAAAACGAAACCAUCAAUCCUUUCGGACCAAAUGAUGGUGAAUACCGUGUGUUGCGUGGCGGCAGUUGGAACAACCUUUCCAGUAUCAUUCGUUCCACAUACCGGAACCAUGGCUAUCCCACGAACACGAGCUAUCGCGUGGGUUUUCGCUGUGUAUUCCCGCCGUAGGCGUUCUGUGUUCUGUUUUCUAAAUUCUAAAAUUCGGGGGGUCAAGGAUGUGGACUCCCGUGUUUUCCAGCACUGCGAGAUCCUUUCUCACCUCUCUCUUGCUUAUAAGGUGACAUUGGUUGGUAAAGGGGUCGUGGUAGUUUGCUAGUGAAAAUUACAACUUAUUGAAAUGAAUUGGCGGGGGGGC